GAGGACCGAACCGACUAAUGUUGAAAAAUUAGCGGAUGACCUGUGGCUGGGGGUGAAAGGCCAAUCAAACCGGGAGAUAGCUGGUUCUCCCCGAAAGCUAUUUAGGUAGCGCCUCGUGAAUUCAUCUCCGGGGGUAGAGCACUGUUUCGGCUAGGGGGCCAUCCCGGCUUACCAACCCGAUGCAAACUGCGAAUACCGGAGAAUGUUAUCACGGGAGACACACGGCGGGUGCUAACGUCCGUCGUGAAGAGGGAAACAACCCAGACCGCCAGCUAAGGUCCCAAAGUCAUGGUUAAGUGGGAAACGAUGUGGGAAGGCCCAGACAGCCAGGAUGUUGGCUUAGAAGCAGCCAUCAUUUAAAGAAAGCGUAAUAGCUCACUGGUCGAGUCGGCCUGCGCGGAAGAUGUAACGGGGCUAAACCAUGCACCGAAGCUGCGGCAGCGACACUGUGUGUUGUUGGGUAGGGGAGCGUUCUGUAAGCCUGCGAAGGUGGCCUGUGAGGGUUGCUGGAGGUAUCAGAAGUG
rnacentral:rRNA from 1 species